rnacentral:rRNA from 1 species
CCUACGGGAGACAGCAGUGAGGCAUCUUGGUCAAUGGGCGCGAGCCUGAACCAGCCAAGUAGCGUGAAGGAUGACUGCCCUACGGGUUGUACACUUCUUUUAUAAAGGAAUACAGUGCUGCACGUGUGCCUUUUUGUAUGUACUUUAUGAAUAAGCCUCGGCUAACUCCGUGCCAGCAGCCGCGGUAAUACGGAGGAUCCGAGCGUUAUCCGGAUUUAUUGGGUUUAAAGGGAGCGUAGAUGGGUUGUUAAGUCAGUUGUGAAAGUUUGCGGCUCAACCGUAAAAUUGCAAUUGAUACUGGCAGCCUUGAGGACAGUUGAGGUAGGCGGAAUGCGUGGUGUAGCGGUGAAAUGCAUAGAUAUCACGAAGAACUCCGAUUGCGAAGGCAGCCUACUAAACUGCCACUGACAUUGAUGCACGAAAGUGUGGGUAUCAAACAGGAUUAGAUACCCCUGUAGUC